rnacentral:rRNA from 1 species
AUUGAACGCUGGCGGCAUGCUUUACACAUGCAAGUCGAACGGCAGCGCGGGCUUCGGCCUGGCGGCGAGUGGCGAACGGGUGAGUAAUGCAUCGGAACGUGCCCAGUAGUGGGGGAUAGCCCGGCGAAAGCCGGAUUAAUACCGCAUACGACCUGAGGGUGAAAGCGGGGGACCGAAAGGCCUCGCGCUAUUGGAGCGGCCGAUGUCGGAUUAGCUAGUUGGUGGGGUAAAGGCUUACCAAGGCGACGAUCCGUAGCUGGUCUGAGAGGACGACCAGCCACACUGGGACGUGGACACGGCCCAGACUCCUACGGGAGGCCGCAGUGGGGAAUUUUGGACAAUGGGGGCAACCCUGAUCCAGCCAUGCCGCGUGCGGGAAGAAGGCCUUCGGGUUGUAAACCGCUUUUGUUCGGGAAGAAAUCCUCUGGGCUAAUACCCCGGGGGGAUGACGGUACCGGAAGAAUAAGCACCGGCUAACUACGUG